AAAAUUCUCCCUCUGUCCCAAAAUUCUUCUCUUAGAUUUGUCUAGAUAUGUUUUAGUAUUUAGAUGCAUCCAUUUCUAGACAACCUAAGACAAGAAUUUUGAGACAGAGGAAGAAAAUG
rnacentral:pre_miRNA from 1 species